AAGUCUAGGGGAAACGAUAGAGAAAGCUUGCUUUUUCUAGGCGUCGACCGGCGCACGGGUGAGUAACGCGUAUCCAACCUGCCCACCACUUGGGGAUAACCUUGCGAAAGUAAGACUAAUACCCAAUGAUAUCUCUAGAAGACAUCUGAAAGGGAUUAAAGAUUUAUCGGUGAUGGAUGGGGAUGCGUCUGAUUAGUUUGUUGGCGGGGUAACGGCCCACCAAGGCGACGAUCAGUAGGGGUUCUGAGAGGAAGGUCCCCCACAUUGGAACUGAGACACGGUCCAAACUCCUACGGGAGGCAGCAGUGAGGAAUAUUGGUCAAUGGGCGAGAGCCUGGACCAGCCAAGUAGCGUGCAGGAUGACGGCCCUAUGGGUUGUAAACUGCUUUUAUAAGGGAAUAAAGUGAGUCUCGUGAGGCUUUUUGCAUGUACCUUAUGAAUAAGGACCGGCUAAUUCCGUGCCAGCAGCCGCGGUAAUACGGAAGGUCCGGGCGUUAUCCGGAUUUAUUGGGUUUAAAGGGAGCGUAGGCCGGAGAUUAAGCGUGUUGUGAAAUGUAGACGCUCAACGUCUGCACUGCAGCGCGAACUGGUUUCCUUGAGUACGCACAAAGUGGGCGGAAUUCGUGGUGUAGCGGUGAAAUGCUUAGAUAUCACGAAGAACUCCGAUUGCGAAGGCAGCUCACUGGAGCGCAACUGACGCUGAAGCUCGAAAGUGCGGGUAUCGAACAGGAUUAGAUACCGUGGUAGUCCGCACGGU
rnacentral:rRNA from 1 species